rnacentral:rRNA from 1 species
AUGUGAACAUACCUACUGUUGCUUCGGCGGGAUUGCCCCGGGCGCCUCGUGUGCCCCGGAUCAGGCGCCCGCCUAGGAAACUUAACUCUUGUUUUAUUUUGGAAUCUUCUGAGUAGUUUUUACAAAUAAAUAAAAACUUUCAACAACGGAUCUCUUGGUUCUGGCAUCGAUGAAGAACGCAGCGAAAUGCGAUAAGUAAUGUGAAUUGCAGAAUUCAGUGAAUCAUCGAAUCUUUGAACGCACAUUGCGCCCGCCAGUAUUCUGGCGGGCAUGCCUGUCUGAGCGUCAUUUCAACCCUCAUGCCCCUAGGGCGUGGUGUUGGGGAUCGGCCAAAGCCCGCGAGGGACGGCCGGCCCCUAAAUCUAGUGGCGGACCCGUCGUGGCCUCCUCUGCGAAGUAGUGAUAUUCCGCAUCGGAGAGCGACGAGCCCCUGCCGUUAAACCCCCAACUUUCCAAGGUUGACCUCAGAUCAGGUAGGAAUACCCGCUGAACUUAAGCAUAUCAAA